CGGAAAAGGACAUCAACCGAGACUCCCGUAGUAGUGGCGAGCGAACCGGGACCAGGCCAGUGCUCUUGUGAAAUAAAGGCGAACGACCUGGAAAGGUCGGCCAUAGCGGGUGACAGCCCCGUAGCCGUCAAACAGCAAGAGACUCGAGUAGGGCGGGACACGUGAAAUCCUGUCUGAACAUGGGGGGACCACCCUCCAAGCCUAAGUACUCCUCUACGACCGAUAGUGAACAAGUACCGUGAGGGAAAGGUGAAAAGCACCCCAACGAGGGGAGUGAAACAGAUCCUGAAAUCGGAAGCCUACAAGCAGUCGGAGCCCCCAUGCGGGGUGACGGCGUACCUUUUGUAUAAUGGGUCAGCGACUUCAUGUGUCGAGCAAGCUUAAGCCGUUAGGUGUAGGCGCAGCGAAAGCGAGUCUGAAUAGGGCGCUAAGUUCGACGUAUGACGACCCGAAACUAGGUGAUCUAUCCAUGAGCAGGAUGAAGGUUGGGUAACACCAACUGGAGGUCCGAACCCGUGAAUGUUGAAAAAUUCUGGGAUGACUUGUGGAUAGGGGUGAAAGGCCAAUCAAACCUAGACAUAGCUGGUUCUCCGCGAAAAUCUAUUUAGGUAGAGCGUCCGACGAAUUCCUUGGGGGGUAGAGCACUGGAUGGUUGCGGGCUGCGCGAGUGGUACCAAUACUAACCAAACUCCGAAUACCCAAGAGAACUAUCGGGCAGACACACGGCGGGUGCUAACGUCCGUCGUGAAAAGGGAAACAACCCUAACCAUCAUCUAAGGCCCCCAAGUCAUGGCUAAGUGGGAACGAUGUGGGAUUGCUUUGACAAUCAGGAGGUUGGCUUAGAAGCAGCCAUCCUUUAAAGAAAGCGUAACAGCUCACUGAUCAAGCGAUCCUGCGCGGAAAAUGUAACGGGGCUCAAGCCAUGCGCCGAAGAUAUGGGUUUGCAGUUUACUGCAAGCGGUAGCGGAGCGUUCCGUAAGCCGGUGAAGGUCAGGCGUGAGCCUGGCUGGAGGUAUCGGAAGUGAGAAUGCUGACAUGAGUAACGAUAAACAGUGUGAGAAACACUGUCGCCGAAAGACCAAGGGUUCCUGCGUAAAGCUAAUCUGCGCAGGGUUAGUCGGCCCCUAAGGCGAGGCUGAAAAGCGUAGUCGAUGGGAAACAGGUUAAUAUUCCUGUACUUCUGGUUA
rnacentral:rRNA from 1 species